AAAACGAGUCCGUAGAAGCUGCGUGCGUGCGUAAAAAACGACUAUAAUUCGGCCUUUAGCUGACGAACCUGGGAGAGAGCUUUGUGCGUUUGUACGAGAGAGAGAGCGGAGCUGCUUCAGCCGUGUAGGCCUAAGCCUCUGUUGGACUCCGAUUGUUUUUUUUGAUAGAUUGAUCAGAAUUCUGAACCCUUGGUGGUUCAGUGGCGAGCCAGGCGAUUGACAGCGGACGGAGAUCGGGUUCCACUCCGAAGACCAAAGACACAGAUACACUUGAUACAGAUAAGAACGUUCACCAUAAAACCUACCCGGGUAGUAGAAUGAACACAGGGUUGAAACCCCAUCUUCUGAUUUAGAAGAAAGGACACUUUUCUUUGAACUUUAUUUUAUUAUUUUAUUUUUAUUAUUUUAUUGAAAGAGCUCUAUUUUUGGUUCACUGUUCCUAUUUCCAUGCACUGUUGAAUGAUAAUUGUUGUGAGGCAAUAAAUGAUCACUCUUCAAUUUCCAGUCAGAGUCCGACUUUCUGAAC